rnacentral:tRNA from 1 species
UUAAAAGUAAGCUAAAUUUCAAGCUUUUGGGCUCAUACCUCAACUAUAGAUUAAUUCUCUUUUAAA